rnacentral:rRNA from 1 species
ACUCCUACGGGAGGCAGCAGUGGGAAUAUUGCACAAUGGGCGCAAGCCUGAUGCAGCCAUGCCGCGUGUGUGAAGAAGGCUCUAGGGUUGUAAAGCACUUUCAAUUGGGAGAAAAGCUACUGGUUAAUAACCUUUAGCCUUGAUGUUACCUUUAGAAGAAGCACCGGCUAACUCCGUGCCAGCAGCCGCGGUAAUACGGAGGGUGCAAGCGUUAAUCGGAAUUACUGGGCGUAAAGCGCGCGUAGGCGGUUUGGUCAGUUGGAUGUGAAAGCCCCGGGCUUAACCUGGGAACUGCAUUCAAUACUGCCAGACUCGAGUACGAGAGAGGGGGGUAGAAUUUCUAGUGUAGCGGUGAAAUGCGUAGAUAUUAGAAGGAAUACCAGUGGCGAAGGCGGCCCCCUCGGUUCGUAUACUGACGCUGAGGUGCGAAAG